GUAAUUAAGUGCAUGUGGUGGAUGCCUUGGCAGUCAGAGGCGAUGAAAGACGUGAUAGCCUGCGAAAAGCUCCGGGGAGGCGGCAAAUAUCCUUUGAUCCGGAGAUGUCUGAAUGGGGGAACCCACCUACUUUAAGGUAGGUAUUGCAACAUGAAUACAUAGUGUUGCAAGGCGAACGAGGGGAAGUGAAACAUCUCAGUACCCUUAGGAAAAGAAAUCAAUUGAGAUUCCCUCAGUAGCGGCGAGCGAACGGGGAUCAGCCCAUUAAGUUAUGUGUGUUUUAGUGGAACGCUCUGGGAAGUGCGAACGUAGAGGGUGAUAUUCCCGUACACGAAAGGGCACACAUAAUGAUGACGAGUAGGGCGAGGCACGUGAAACCUUGUCUGAAUAUGGGGGGACCAUCCUCCAAGGCUAAAUACUCCUGACUGACCGAUAGUGAACCAGUACCGUGAGGGAAAGGCGAAAAGAACCCCUGUGAGGGGAGUGAAAUAGAUCCUGAAACCGCAUGCAUACAAGCAGUGGGAGCACCUUCGUGGUGUGACUGCGUACCUUUUGUAUAAUGGGUCAGCGACUUAUAUUCAGUAGCGAGGUUAACCGUAUAGGGGAGCCGUAGAGAAAUCGAGUCUUAAUAGGGCGUUUAGUUGCUGGGUAUAGACCCGAAACCAGGCGAUCUAUCCAUGAGCAGGUUGAAGGUUGGGUAACACUAACUGGAGGACCGAACCCACUGUCGUUGAAAAGCCAGGGGAUGACUUGUGGAUAGGGGUGAAAGGCUAAUCAAGCCUGGUGAUAGCUGGUUCUCCCCGAAAGCUAUUUAGGUAGCGCCUCGGACGAAUACCAUAGGGGGUAGAGCACUGUUUCGGCUAGGGGGUCAUCCCGACUUACCAAACCGAUGCAAACUCCGAAUACCUAUGAGUACUAUCCGGGAGACAGACUGCGGGUGCUAACGUCCGUAGUCAAGAGGAAAACAAUCCAGACCGCCAGCUAAGGCCCCAAAAUCAUAGUUAAGUGGGAAACGAUGUGGGAAGGCAUAGACAGCUAGGAGGUUGGCUUAGAAGCAGCCACCCUUUAAAGAAAGCGUAAUAGCUCACUAGUCGAGUCGGCCUGCGCGGAAGAUGUAACGGGGCUAAAACUAUGUGCCGAAGCUGCGGAUGUAUACUUUGUAUACGUGGUAGGGGAGCGUUCUGUAAGCCGAUGAAGGUGUGUUGAGAAGCAUGCUGGAGGUAUCAGAAGUGCGAAUGCUGACGUGAGUAACGACAAAACGGGUGAAAAACCCGUUCGCCGAAAGACCAAGGGUUCCAGUCCAACGUUAAUCGGGGCUGGGUGAGUCGACCCCUAAGGCGAGGCCGAAAGGCGUAGUCGAUGGGAAAAUGGUUAAUAUUCCAUUACUUCUGUGUAAUGCGAUGAGAGGACGGAGAAGGCUAAAUCAGCCUGGCGUUGGUUGUCCAGGUGAAAGGAUGUAGGCAUGUAUCUUAGGCAAAUCCGGGGUACUCUAUGCUGAGAUCUGAUAGCAAGCUGUACUUGUACAGCGAAGUGGUUGAUGCCAUGCUUCCAGGAAAAGUCUCUAAGCUUCAGUUACACAGGAAUCGUACCCGAAACCGACACAGGUGGUCAGGUCGAGUAGACCAAGGCGCUUGAGAGAACUCUGCUGAAGGAACUAGGCAAAAUGGUACCGUAACUUCGGGAGAAGGUACGCUGUUGUUGGUGAUGGAACUUGCUUCCUGAGCUGACGACAGCCGCAGAAACCAGGCCGCUGCAACUGUUUAUUAAAAACAUAGCACUCUGCAAACACGAAAGUGGACGUAUAGGGUGUGAUGCCUGCCCGGUGCUGGAAGGUUAAUUGAUGGGGUUAGCGUAAGCGAAGCUCUUGAUCGAAGCCCCAGUAAACGGCGGCCGUAACUAUAACGGUCCUAAGGUAGCGAAAUUCCUUGUCGGGUAAGUUCCGACCUGCACGAAUGGCAUAAUGAUGGCGGCGCUGUCUCCAGCAGAGGCUCAGUGAAAUCGAAAUCGCUGUGAAGAUGCAGUGUACCCGCGGCUAGACGGAAAGACCCCGUGAACCUUUACUGCAGCUUGACACUGAACUUUGACCUUACUUGUGUAGGAUAGGUGGGAGGCUUUGAAGCUGGAACGCUAGUUCCAGUGGAGCCGUCCUUGAAAUACCACCCUGGUAAUGUUGAGGUUCUAACUCUGUCCCGUGAUCCGGGACGAGGACCGUGUCUGGUGGGUAGUUUGACUGGGGCGGUCUCCUCCUAAAGAGUAACGGAGGAGUACGAAGGUGCGCUCAGCGUGGUCGGAAAUCACGCGUAGAGUAUAAAGGCAAAAGCGCGCUUAACUGCGAGACCCACAAGUCGAGCAGGUACGAAAGUAGGUCUUAGUGAUCCGGUGGUUCUGUAUGGAAGGGCCAUCGCUCAACGGAUAAAAGGUACUCUGGGGAUAACAGGCUGAUACCGCCCAAGAGUUCAUAUCGACGGCGGUGUUUGGCACCUCGAUGUCGGCUCAUCUCAUCCUGGGGCUGAAGCAGGUCCCAAGGGUAUGGCUGUUCGCCAUUUAAAGAGGUACGCGAGCUGGGUUUAGAACGUCGUGAGACAGUUCGGUCCCUAUCUACCGUGGGCGCUGGAAAUUUGAGAGGAUCUGCUCCUAGUACGAGAGGACCAGAGUGGACGAACCUCUGGUGUACCGGUUGUGACGCCAGUCGCAUCGCCGGGUAGCUAUGUUCGGAAGGGAUAACCGCUGAA
rnacentral:rRNA from 1 species